rnacentral:rRNA from 1 species
GACGAACGCUGGCGGCGUGCUUAACACAUGCAAGUCGAACGGAAAGGCCCUGCUUUUGUGGGGUGCUCGAGUGGCGAACGGGUGAGUAACACGUGAGUAACCUGCCCUUGACUUUGGGAUAACUUCAGGAAACUGGGGCUAAUACCGGAUAGGAGCUCCUGCUGCAUGGUGGGGGUUGGAAAGUUUCGGCGGUUGGGGAUGGACUCGCGGCUUAUCAGCUUGUUGGUGGGGUAGUUGCUUACCAAGGCUUUGACGGGUAGCCGGCCUGAGAGGGUGACCGGCCACAUUGGGACUGAGAUACGGACCAGACUCCUACGGGAGGCAGCAGUGGGGAAUAUUGCACAAUGGGCGGAAGCCUGAUGCAGCAACGCCGCGUGCGGGAUGACGGCCUUCGGGUUGUAAACCGCUUUCGCCUGUGACGAAGCGUGAGUGACGGUAAUGGGUAAAGAAGCACCGGCUAACUACGUG